rnacentral:misc_RNA from 1 species
ACCGAUACGCAUGACUAUGACGUCAAGAUGCGCAACGUGAUGCGGUUUCUCGAGAGCGGCGACAAGGUGAAGGUCACCCUGCGCUUCCGCGGCCGCGAGAUGGCCCACCAGGACCUCGGCCGCGAGCUGCUCCACCGCGUCGCCGGCGAUGUCGAAGGCGUCGGCAAGGUCGAGAACAUGCCCAAGAUGGAAGGGCGGCAGAUGAUCAUGAUCAUCGCCCCGGCCGGCAAGUAGGCAGCCCCGCCCCGACAAUCUGACACGAUCACGACCUCCCGCCCCGCGCGGGAGGUUCUGUUUUGCGCCCCGUCGCCUUGCACGGA